AAUCAACGCUGGCGGCGUGCCUCAGACAUGCAAAUCGAACGAUUAAGACUUCCUUCGGGCAGAGUAUAAAGUGGCGCACGGGUGAGUAACACGUAAGUAAUCUACCUUUGAGUGGGGAAUAACAUCCGGAAACCGAUGCUAAUACGGCAUGAUGCAGCGGCAUCGCAAGAUGACGGUUGUUAAAGGGGCAAUUCGCUGGAAGAGGAGCUUUCGGCAGAGUAGCUAGUUGCUAAGCUAAUGGCUUACCAAGGCUACGGUCUGUAUCCGGUCUAAGAGGACGGUCGGACACACUGACACUGAAUAACGGGUCAGACUCCUACGGGAGGCAGCAGUCGGGAAUUUUGCGCAAUGGGCGGAAGCCUGACCCAGCAACGCCGCGUGAGGGAUGAAGUAUUUCGGUAUGUAAACCUCGAAAGAAUGGGAAGAAUAAAUGACGGUACCAUUUAUAAGCUCCGGCUAACUACGUGCCAGCCGCCGCGGUAAAAC
rnacentral:rRNA from 1 species